rnacentral:rRNA from 1 species
UACGGCGAGUGAGCGGUAAAAGCUCAAAUUUGAAAUCUGGUACUUUCAGUGCCCGAGUUGUAAUUUGUAGAAUUUGUCUUUGAUUAGGUCCUUGUCUAUGUUCCUUGGAACAGGACGUCAUAGAGGGUGAGAAUCCCGUUUGGCGAGGAUACCUUUUCUCUGUAAGACUUUUUCGAAGAGUCGAGUUGUUUGGGAAUGCAGCUCAAAGUGGGUGGUAAAUUCCAUCUAAAGCUAAAUAUUGGCGAGAGACCGAUAGCGAACAAGUACAGUGAUGGAAAGAUGAAAAGAACUUUGAAAAGAGAGUGAAAAAGUACGUGAAAUUGUUGAAAGGGAAGGGCAUUUGAUCAGACAUGGUGUUUUUUGCAUGCACUCGCCUCUCGUGGGCUUGGGCCUCUCAAAAAUUUCACUGGGCCAACAUCAAUUCUGGCAGCAGGAUAAAUCAUUAAGAAUGUAGCUACUUCGGUAGUGUUAUAGCUUUUUGGAAUACUGUUAGCCGGGAUUGAGGACUGCGCUUCGGCAAGGAUGUUGGCAUAAUGGUUAAAUGCCGCCCGUCU